rnacentral:rRNA from 1 species
AGUGAACGCUGGCGGUAGGCCUAACACAUGCAAGUCGAACGGCAGCACAGUAAGAGCUUGCUCUUACGGGUGGCGAGUGGCGGACGGGUGAGGAAUACAUCUGAAUCUACUUUUUCGUGGGGGAUAACGUAGGGAAACUUACGCUAAUACCGCAUACGACCUACGGGUGAAAGCAGGGGAUCUUCGGACCUUGCGCGAUUGAAUGAGCCGAUGUCGGAUUAGCUAGUUGGCGGGGUAAAGGCCCACCAAGGCGACGAUCCGUAGCUGGUCUGAGAGGAUGAUCAGCCACACUGGAACUGAGACACGGUCCAGACUCCUACGGGAGGCAGCAGUGGGGAAUAUUGGGCAAUGGGCGCAAGCCUGAUCCAGCCAUACCGCGUGGGUGAAGAAGGCCUUCGGGUUGUAAAGCCCUUUUGUUGGGAAAGAAAAGCAGCAGGUUAAUACCCCGCUGUUCUGACGGUACCCAAAGAAUAAGCACCGGCUAACUUCGUG